UUUAUUUUCAAUUUUACUUUCAAAUCAAACAUUUUAUUGCACUACAGAUCUAAAUUCGGUUCACAAUUGUAACCACGAUUUUCAGGAAAUGCCUUAAAAAUAAUUAUACUAAAGGUUUCUUAUACAAUUAUACAAUUCACUAUCAGUUCGGAUAAUACACGAAUAUCUUGAAUGCUAGGAAUUUGCAUACAUACAGCUGCGCUUGGAAUGAUUUUUUGGUGUUAUAAAUGCAGAUACCCUCCUUCGUACAAGCAAGUAAUAAUACUUAUUUAGAUGUAUACUACAAAUGGACAAAUUGUGAUACCUUUAUUUUUUGGGAAGGGGCGGUUUUUUUCCCCUACCUGUUUGCUGGUAGUCUAGGGGGCUAUUCCAGCUACGCCAGGACGGGUAGGUGAGCUUACCGGCUCAACCUGAGAGGAUUUGCUAACACUAACCCUAGCAAGAGCAGUGCUUUUGCAGUGCAAAAUCUUCCACCGAAUCGGAAACGCGACUCAUUGAGAAGAUUCGUGCUCAAAAUAGGCAGACUACGGUCGGUGAAAUUCAAUUGACGAACUACUACAUACCAUAAUGGAUUAAAAUUGCGCAUUCAAAGCUGUACAAGUUUUUUGAUAAGCUAUUUAUCUCCGUUUCAGGGUCAGAGGUUACGCGUUGUUAUGUGACAAGGACAGGCGCUUUCUGCGCAGGAGUCGCCACGGUCGGGUGAACACAAACCUUCCGCGUAGUGUCUCGCAGUCCGGUCACUUGUACUACACGUAGGGUCAAGGUCCUCGACCAAUUCUGUUCUAAUUUACCUACAAUGCCAAAUAAAUCUAUGCGACUAGAUAAACAUUAUUCCACACCUAAAAAUGUACUAGCGUGUGUAUUGUAAUGUGUGUAAAAUGUAUUACUCUCAUUAAACAAUAUUAUCACGCAUAAA